GCAGAGGGAACAGCAAGAGUCAAGUUCCUGAGGCAAGAAUACCCCAUGACUGUUCAAAACAGCAAGAACCCAGUGAGGAUGGAGCGUAGUGAGCAAGGAAGACAGAGGAGGGGGAUGAGAUGCCCUGAAAUAAUGCAGCAAUCUUGAGACGAGUCGGCAUGCCAAUACACUGAGGAUGGUGGAGCAGAGAGUUAGGAAGAGUCUUGGACUUUGGAGACACUGUUGAACCUCUGGUCACCACUUGUGUGUUAGAUAAUUAAACAUCUUUAUUGCUUAAGCCAGUUAGUCAAGAUUUGCAGCAUAAAGCAUU
rnacentral:lncRNA from 1 species